rnacentral:rRNA from 1 species
GACGAACGCUGGCGGCGUGCUUAACACAUGCAAGUCGUGCGGUAAGGCCCUUUCGGGGGUACACGAGCGGCGAACGGGUGAGUAACACGUGAGCAACCUGCCCUUCACUUUGGGAUAACUGCCGGAAACGGUGGCUAAUACCGGAUAUGACUUCCUCACGCAUGUGGGGUGGUGGAAAGCCUUCGGGUGGUGGGGGAUGGGCUCGCGGUCUAUCAGCUUGUUGGUGGGGUGAUGGCCUACCAAGGCUUCGACGGGUAGCCGGCCUGAGAGGGUGACCGGCCACACUGGGACUGGGACACGGCCCAGACUCCAACGGGAGGCAGCAGUGGGGAAUAUUAGACAAUGGGCGAAAGCCUGAUCCAGCAACGCCGCGUGGGGGAUGACGGCCUUCGGGUUGUAAACCUCUUUCGCCUGCGACGAAGCGAGAGUGACGGUAGCAGGUAAAGAAGCACCGGCCAACUACGUG